rnacentral:tRNA from 1 species
GCGAGUGUGGCGGAACUGGCAGACGCGCAAGGUUUAGGUCCUUGUAUCCAAAAGAUGUGUGGGUUCGACUCCCUCCACUCGCA